GGCCGCGUGGCCUAAUGGCUAAGGCGCUAGAUUUCGGUCUUCAGCAACAGAUUCUCUAGAGAUUCCAGGUUCGACUCCUGGCGUGGUCG
rnacentral:tRNA from 1 species